ACUGUCUCCUGAGGGUCACGCCCACAAGCCCCCAUAAAAACCUAACCCUUUCAUAGCUCGAGGCUCUUCUCCGCUGCCCCUGCGUGGGUUAUGAGAUGAGCCCCAGCGCACUGGUCCUGCAAUAAAGCCUCGUGUGAUUGCAUCAAGAACUGUCUCUCUCGACUUCAUGGGGUUGAGUUGCCGCGUCCUCUAAGCAAAGUGUCAACAUCGAGGCAGCCGAGCUCCCAGAGAAAGAUCACUCUCCAUGUUUCAAGGACUUGUCAGUGGGCUGUAGGCGGGUUAAAGUUGUCCCAACUUUGGAGGCUAGGGCCACAGAGACUGGAAAAGGAGCUUUGGCCACUGAGAAUGUGACAUGCUUCCUCACCUGUAAAAUGAGAGGGUCGGCCUGAAGGACUGCUAAGGCCCCUUCCAGCUCUGACAAGGGAUGCCUCUGUAAACCCUGGCAGUGCCAUCCGGGAGAGAAAAAGUAAGAAGGGGCACUCAGAAAACAGCACGGAGAUGGGGGGAAGCUGGCUAGUAAGGAGGUAACCAUCUUACGGCCAGUUCUCACGGAGAGAAGGACAUGAGAGGGUCAAGGUCACCCAAGCAAGGGCGGUAGGACUGCCGGGCUUGGCACCAUGCAGGAUGGGAUCUGGGCAUGAGAGCAGCCUCUACCUAGAGCAAGUUCCCUUGAGCAAGUACUUUUUUUUCUUAGCCUCAGUUUCUUUUUCCAGACAGGACUGGCUUGGAUGAUCACCGUGGACCUCACCGUGGGUGUCAUCUACAAUGGUUUUUUUCAAAACGAGAGUCCUGAAAAUAAAUUUUAAUUAGUUACUGAGGCA
rnacentral:lncRNA from 1 species